GCUCAGAUUGAACGCUGGCGGCAUGCCUUACACAUGCAAGUCGAACGGCAGCACGGGAGCAAUCCUGGUGGCGAGUGGCGAACGGGUGAGUAAUACAUCGGAACGUGCCCUGUCGUGGGGGAUAACUAGUCGAAAGAUUAGCUAAUACCGCAUACGACCUGAGGGUGAAAGCGGGGGACCGCAAGGCCUCGCGCGAUAGGAGCGGCCGAUGUCUGAUUAGCUAGUUGGUGGGGUAAAGGCCCACCAAGGCGACGAUCAGUAGCUGGUCUGAGAGGACGAUCAGCCACACUGGGACUGAGACACGGCCCAGACUCCUACGGGAGGCAGCAGUGGGGAAUUUUGGACAAUGGGGGCAACCCUGAUCCAGCAAUGCCGCGUGUGUGAAGAAGGCCUUCGGGUUGUAAAGCACUUUUGUCCGGAAAGAAAUCCCUUGCUCUAAUAAAGCGGGGGGAUGACGGUACCGGAAGAAUAAGCACCGGCUAACUACGUGCCAGCAGCCGCGGUAAUACGUAGGGUGCGAGCGUUAAUCGGAAUUACUGGGCGUAAAGCGUGCGCAGGCGGUUUUGUAAGACAGGCGUGAAAUCCCCGAGCUCAACUUGGGAAUGGCGCUUGUGACUGCAAGGCUAGAGUAUGUCAGAGGGGGGUAGAAUUCCACGUGUAGCAGUGAAAUGCGUAGAGAUGUGGAGGAAUACCGAUGGCGAAGGCAGCCCCCUGGGACGUCACUGA
rnacentral:rRNA from 1 species